ACGCUCGACCUACGGAGGCAGCAGUAGGGAAUCUUCCACAAUGGGCGCAAGCCUGAUGGAGCAACACCGCGUGAGUGAAGAAGGGUUUCGGCUCGUAAAGCUCUGUUGUUGGAGAAGAACGUGCGUGAGAGUAACUGUUCACGCAGUGACGGUAUCCAACCAGAAAGUCACGGCUAACUACGUGCCGGCAGCCGCGGUAAUCUGAGCGGGCUGGCAAGGC
rnacentral:rRNA from 1 species